rnacentral:RNase_P_RNA from 1 species
CAUGCUGGCCGGAUGAUCGCGUUGCCCGUGGAGUACAUCUCAUGGUCAGCGAGGAAAGUCCGGGCUCCUUGGACAAACUGCCAGGUAACACCUGGGCGCAGCUCCGGCUGUGACGGAAAGUGCCACAGAAAACAAACCGCCAUACCGGUAAUUGGUGUGGUAAGGGUGAAAUGGUGGGGUAAGAGCCCACCGCAUCAGCGGUAACGCUGAUGGCUCGGUAAACCCCAGUUGGAGCAAGGCCAAAUAGGCGGCGAGAGACAGUCCUUCUCGACCAAGACGUCGCGGGUUGGCUGCUAGAACGUGGUGGCGACAUCACGUCCAGAGGAAUGAUCAUCCGGAUCGCAAGAUCCGACAGAACCCGGCUUAUAGGCCAGCAUGCACC